AACGCACAUUGCGCCUCCAGUAACUUGGAGGCAUGCCUGUCUGAGCGUCAUUUAAAACCAUAAACCCGAUCGGGUUUGUAUUGGGCGUCGCCUCUGGGCGUAGCCUCAAAGUCAUCGGUCUUAUACGCGGACGAGUUCCAUUAGGACGGACCGUGUCUGGACUUUAAACCUCUGACUUGACCUCAGAUCAGGUAGGACUACCGCCUGAACUUAA
rnacentral:misc_RNA from 1 species